UGGCGGCACUAGCGCGGUGGUCCCACCUGACCCCAUGCCGAACUCAGAAGUGAAACGCCGUAGCGCCGAUGGUAGUGUGGGGUCUCCCCAUGUGAGAGUAGGGAACU
rnacentral:rRNA from 1 species